CCGUCCCUGGAGUGUUCAAGAGACAGCUGGAUGACGUGCUGCGUGACGUGGUUUAGUGCUUGUGGUGGCAAUGGUGAUGAGGAGAUGGUUGGACUGGAUGAUCUUAUAGGUCAUUUCCAACUUUGUGAUUCUAUGAUUCUAUGAUUCAGAGUGCUGUUGCACAGUGUCCAGUACACACUGUUAAUCAUUAGUUAUUUUUUCUGCCAUUAGUAUAGAUGAAGAUAGGAGAGUUUCUCAGGCACCUCUCUGAAGUCAUUGAACCAGUUUCUCCUCAGCUGAGACACAGACCUGUAGGAAGAAGCGAGAUUUUCCUCAUAUUGUCAAAGUAGACUAGCCACUUCAUCUACCGUUGGUUGUUUGUUAUCUUUCCAGAUCACUCAUGCCAAGAUGCUGGCAUGCAAUGAUGGGUGCACUCCAUAAAACUCUCUGCCACAUAAAUUGCGUGCAUUUGACUUUAUCUGUAUAUUGAGAUGGCAUAUUAUCAUCCAGAUCACUUGUGAACAAAUGUGAACAGAGGAACAGCAUGUUGAAAGUUUCCAUGGAAAUAAAUGGGAGGCAUUACUUACAGAACAACCUACAUGUAUUGCUUUCUGUAUGACUGUGAGUACGGGUGAACACAUGCAUGCAUGUAGGUUGUAUAUGUACCACAAUUUUUCUGACAGCAUAUCUUCCUUCUGUGCUCUUUUUUUUUUGUGUGUGUGUUUUGUUUUGUUUUUAAUGUCUCAGUAGCUCUGUUUUCUGACAUUUGUUUCUUCUACCGUUAAUUGUCUAUUCAAUCUUAUGUAUGCAUUUUUUGUUUUAUUGCUUUAAUCAGUAUCCUAUUCAUUCUAUGUUUAUGUGACAUAGUUUUUGUUUCUUUGUUACAAGACCUUCAAAUAAACUUAUUUUCAAUAAUUUCA